CCGCCAUCAGCAAGUACAGCUCCGCCCGGACUCCUACGGGAGCCGGGCUCCACCGCCAUCAGCAAGUGCAGCUCCGCCCGGACUCCUACGGGAGCCGAGCUCCACUGUCGACAUCAGCGCAGCUCCGCCCGGACUCCCACGAGAGCCGGGCUCCGCUCUCGGUAUCAACGGCUGGUAAGCUCAAUCCGGACUCCUAUCAGAGCCGGAUUUCACCCUUN
rnacentral:lncRNA from 1 species